rnacentral:misc_RNA from 1 species
AAGUCGUAACAAGGUUUCCGUAGGUGAACCUGCGGAAGGAUCAUUAACACGUUAAACACGUUUAAUAACCCCAAAACGUCGCGAACUGUAUGUGACCAUCCAAUCAUGCUGACAAAGAGCUUCUAUUGAAGUCGUGGAAAGAAACUGGAUUUGUGAACGUCUUUAACAAAUCCCUUUUCUAGCUCGAUGUUGUACAUGCAUUUUUGGUUUGGUAUAUUAUCCACUCUUCUCUAAUAACUCUAUGUAAAUAUUUGACUAAAUUGUGGUGGAAAGUAGGCUGUGUUUCCUAACGGGAACUACGCAUCUACGCUCUACGCACGUUAAAUUUUAACUAAAGAACAACUCUUAGCAACGGAUAUCUCGGCUCUC